GUAACAAGGUUUCCGUAGGUGAACCUGCGGAAGGAUCAUUACAGAGUUCAUGCCCGAAAGGGUAGACCUCCCACCCUUGUGUAUUAUUACUUUGUUGCUUUGGCGAGCUGCUCUUCGGGGCCUUGUAUGCUCGCCAGAGAAUAUCAAAACUCUUUUUAUUAAUGUCGUCUGAGUACUAUAUAAUAGUUAAAACUUUCAACAACGGAUCUCUUGGUUCUGGCAUCGAUGAAGAACGCAGCGAAAUGCGAUAAGUAAUGUGAAUUGCAGAAUUCAGUGAAUCAUCGAAUCUUUGAACGCACAUUGCGCCCCUUGGUAUUCCGGGGGGCAUGCCUGUUCGAGCGUCAUUUCAACCCUCAAGCUCAGCUUGGUAUUGAGUCCAUGUCAGUAAUGGCAGGCUCUAAAAUCAGUGGCGGCGCCGCUGGGUCCUGAACGUAGUAAUAUCUCUCGUUACAGGUUCUCGGUGUGCUUCUGCCAAAACCCAAAUUUUCUAUGGUUGACCUCGGAUCAGGUAGGGAUACCCGCUGAACUUAAGCAUAUC
rnacentral:rRNA from 1 species